UGUAAAGUAGCGAUGGUUGCUUAGUAAUCUCAUCAGUUAUGAUUUAAAGGUUCGAAUCCUUUCUUUACAA
rnacentral:tRNA from 1 species